CUACUGAGCAUGUUCAGGAGCUACACAAUGCUGAUCGACUUUUGCUUUUGGGCAGGUGGGUUUUUUUUUUAAUAGAAAAAACAGGAUGGAGAAGGAAAUGGAACUGUCAUGCUUAACUAGGCCUUUUCCAGGAGGCGAGCAAAAGGGGCUGCAGUGUGUUGAACCCCGCUGCAACAUUUUGUUGCAGGUUCUACUCGUCUUUCAAAAUGGCACUGGAUGCUCCUUCUGAAAAGCAAAUGGGGAUUUUUUUUGGGGGGGGUGGAGGUGGCUGCUCUUUGGGGCCACUCAGUUUAUGGGAUUUCUACCCCAGUAUCUUCUCAGAUGACAAUCUACACUGUCCCCCCUCCCUGUGUUGCCAUUUUAUUCUAACGCCAACCCUGUGAGGUAUGUCAGGCUGAGAGGAUGAGCAACAGGUCCAUGACAACCCAAGGAGAGUCGGGGGCACUAUUCAUGUUAUUUCAUGUCAAAGAUUUCUAUUGGGGAGGGGCAGCGGUAGAGCACCUUGUUUCGAAUGCGGAAGGUACGAAAAGGGGGGGAAAGCUGAGGCAAACAAUUUCAGAGGAGGCCUUUUUGUCUGUUUAAAGAUGUGGAUAAGGAGACGGAAUACAUUUAAGGGAGGAAAACAGGGUGAUAGCCGAAGAAAAGCACAGUAAACAGCAGCAACAGUGAGGAUAGGAGACUCCAGAGAGGCUGGAAACGGACUAGGCCUCAACAUGAAAGCAAAGUACCGUAUUUUUCACUCUAUAGGACGCACUUUUCCCCCUCCAAAAAUUAAGGGGACAUAAUAUUUUUUUUCCUGUUCUCCCCCUCCUAUGGUCCAGUGCGUCCUAUGGCCCGGUGUGUCCUAUAAAGCGAAAAAUACGGUAUUUCAUGGAGUUGGACCAGUGGCUUUCAGGCAAGGGUCCCUCCCAGACCUACCUGGAGGUGUCAGGGAUUGAACCCAAGACCUUCAGCAUGCAGAUCAAGGGGUUUAGUGCUGCGUUGUGUUCCUUCCCC